UUGAGAGCGUCCGCCCGGGCGCGACCGCCCUGCGGCCUGCCAGACGUAUAGGAACGGGGAAGACGGGGCUGGUCCGUCACAGUGAGGUGAGCUGAACUGAGAAAGUGAGUGACUGGCCCAAAGUCCUACUCAUAGUAUCUUGAUUUCUAGCCCAGUGCCUGAACUACUAAAGAAAACUAUAUCAAAGGCCACGUUUCUCAAAUAAAAAUGACAAAGAAACACAAAUAGGAAGCAUUGGAUAAAGCUAAUGGGAAACUUCUGCAGGAUAAAGUUCCAGUCCCAAGAAAAAUCUUUAUUGAAAUAAUGCUUGGGACCCAAAUAUACUCAGGAUGUUACAAAUGACCAUCUAUCCAGAAAAAUAAAAAGGAAGGGACAGGAGGAAAUAGACAACUUUCUGAGAUCCUUGAUGGGAUACUUCCAUCAUCAUUUCUCAGAAUGUUUCUACUGCAGGGAUAAACAAAAGCCCCCUCUUGAUCUCAGUAGCGCUAACAAUAUAUAAUUUUGGAAUGAGUCAGAAAGACACUGUCUUGCAAAAUUUUAACAAUAAACCAAACAUUGCUUUUC